CUUCCACAUAAGGAUACUGUUUCUCAAGAACACUAACAACAUGCUCCACUUUCAGCUGAUCUCCUGUUUUUACUUUGUUAUAUAUCUGGAAGGGGGAUACAAAUACAAGUUUGCAGAAAAAACUGAAAAUUUUGAGCAGAGUGGCCUGGAAUCAACUUUAUGACAUACAAUCUCUAAUGAACCACACCAGACGACAGUGUCAAACCGCAUCCCUUCUUUUCUCAUUUUAUCGCUAUUGAACAACAAGGGAUUUCUCUUUCAGAACAGGAAUCUCAGGGGACUGAGGAUGAAAAACCCUUCCACAGACUUCUGUUGAUGAUUUGCAAGGAAACAGAUCACAGCUGCAUGCAGAGACUCUUGAAAUGAUUUCUUUUGGUCUUGAAAAUUCUCAGCUUUCCACACCAAGGAUGCAAUCGUGGAAAGAAACUUUACAUUUCAUUUGCUAUUUUUUUACUGCAUUUAGUCAGUUUAGGAACAAGUGGCUUUCUAUUCUUCACAGUAUAGAAAGUAAACCUCACUUCAGAAGUCCUGUGAAAUAAUCUUUCAAAAGGUAUUUCAACAGGACUCUGUAAAGAAGCUUUAGAAAGCUGGUUGUUUGCAGUGCAGGAAUUUACAGUCAAGCUCUGAACUGUGUGCAGCCACUACUGGCCUCAUUUUUAUAGAGCAUGGGAAGGUAAGUUUACAUUAAGUUUUUGCAGUGCUGUAUUGAAACCGUUCAUACAGAUUACCUUGUAACUGCCAUACUUUCAAAGGUGCCAUUU